rnacentral:rRNA from 1 species
UACGGGGGGGGCGAAGCGUUGUUCGGAAUUACUGGGCGUAAAGGGCUCGUAGGCGGCCAACUAAGUCAGACGUGAAAUCCCUCGGCUUAACCGGGGAACUGCGUCUGAUACUGGAUGGCUUGAGAUUGGGAGAGGGAUGCGGAAUUCCAGGUGUAGCGGUGAAAUGCGUAGAUAUCUGGAGAACACCGGUGGCGAAGGCGGCAUCCUGGACCAACACUGACGCUGAGGAGCGAAAGCCAGGGGAGCAAAGCGGG